rnacentral:rRNA from 1 species
AUUUGCGANUGGGCGAAAGCCUGACGCAGCGACGCCGCGUGGGGGAUGAAGGUCUUCGGAUUGUAAACCCCUUUCGGGAGGGAAGAUGGAGCGAGCAAUCGUUCGGACGGUACCUCCAGAAGCAGCCACGGCUAACUUCGUGCCAGCAGCCGCGGUAAUACGAAGGUGGCAAGCGUUGUUCGGAUUUACUGGGCGUACAGGGAGCGUAGGCGGUUCGGUAAGCCCUUUGUGAAAUCUCCAGGCUUAACCUGGAACAGUCGGAGGGGACUGCCGGGCUAGAGGGCGGGAGAGGAGCGCGGAAUUCCCGGUGUAGCGGUGAAAUGCGUAGAGAUCGGGAGGAAGGCCGGUGGCGAAGGCGGCGCUCUGGAACGUUUCUGACGCUGAGGCUCGAAAGCGUGGGGAGCAAACAGGAUUAGAUACCCUGGUAGUCCACGCCUUAAACUAUGAAUACUAAGUGUCGGCGGGUUACCGCCGGUGCCGCAGCUAACGCAUUAAGUAUUCCGCCUGGGAAGUACGGCCGCAAGGUUGAAACUCAAAGAAAUUGACGA